CCUACGGGAGGCAGCAGUGAGGAAUAUUGGUCAAUGGACGAGAGUCUGAACCAGCCAAGUAGCGUGAAGGAUGACUGCCCUAUGGGUUGUAAACUUCUUUUAUAAAAGAAUAAAACGAGGCACGUGUGCCUUUUUGCAUGUACUUUAUGAAUAAGGAUCGGCUAACUCCGUGCCAGCAGCCGCGGUAAUACGGAGGAUCCGAGCGUUAUCCGGAUUUAUUGGGUUUAAAGGGAGCGUAGAUGGGUUGUUAAGUCAGUUGUGAAAGUUUGCGGCUCAACCGUAAAAUUGCAAUUGAUACUGGCAGUCGUGAGUACAGUUGAGGUAGGCGGAAUUCGUGGUGUAGCGGUGAAAUGCUUAGAUAUCACGAAGAACCCCGAUUGCGAAGGCAGCUUACUAAACUGUGACUGACAUUGAUGCUCGAAAGUGUGGGUAUCAAACAGGAUUAGAUACCCGGGUAGUC
rnacentral:rRNA from 1 species